UCAGCUCGUGUUGUGAAAUNUUGGGNUAAGUNNCGCAACGAGCGCAACCCUUAUNCUUGUUUGCCAGCACGUAAUGGUGGGAACUCCAGGGAGACUGCCGGUGAUAAACCGGAGGAAGGUGGGGACGACGUCAAGUCAUCAUGGCCCUUACGAGUAGGGCUACACACGUGCUACAAUGGCGCAUACAGAGGGCGGCCAACCAGCGAUGGUGAGCGAAUCCCAAAAAGUGCGUCGUAGUCCGGAUUGGAGUCUGCAACUCGACUCCAUGAAGUCGGAAUCGCUAGUAAUCGUGAAUCNGAA
rnacentral:rRNA from 1 species